rnacentral:rRNA from 1 species
CACCGCCCGUCACACCACGAAAGUUGAUCGCACCAGAAGUCGCUGUCCAAACCGCAAGGAUGGAAGUGCCCAAGGUGCGGUUGAUGAUUGGGGUG